GUUUGAAGAUGUACUGAGUAAAUAUACAGCACAUGCCCUACAGAUCAAUGAUGCUGUUAGAAACAAAUCAUCAAUUGUAAAGGCUCAUGUAUCAGCUGGUGAGGGCAGCCGUGAGCCACAGAGACGCCAGGUUUCCUCACCCGUGGCAUCCCAGCUUGCUAAGAAGAGAAAGAGGUCUGACACGCCAUGCACAUCAGAAUCGGAUGAUGGGUUGGUUCCCGAAAACGAGGUUCGGGCCGCCAGGAAAGAGGCUAGGUUUUGGAAGGCGCAGUAUCGCCUUCAGUGUGAACAUAAUACGUCACUAAAAAACCAACUGUCGUUUUUACAAGAGACGGUGAAAGCACAGUUAGGUUCAUUUAAGCAUUUGCUGGAGGAAAUAUUGGAGACCAGAGUGGACAAAGGCAUAGCUGGGCUUUUGGUGGAGCAGCCGGUGGACAUGGCCAGCCGCACAA
rnacentral:lncRNA from 1 species